rnacentral:rRNA from 1 species
GACGAACGCUGGCGGCGUGCUUAACACAUGCAAGUCGAACGAAGAGCGAUGGAAGCUUGCUUCUAUCAAUCUUAGUGGCGAACGGGUGAGUAACGCGUAAUCAACCUGCCCUUCAGAGGGGGACAACAGUUGGAAACGACUGCUAAUACCGCAUACGAUCUGACCUCGGCAUCGAGGAUAGAUGAAAGGUGGCCUCUAUUUAUAAGCUAUCACUGAAGUAGGGGAUUGCGUCUGAUUAGCUAGUUGGAGGGGUAACGGCCCACCAAGGCGAUGAUCAGUAGCCGGUCUGAGAGGAUGAACGGCCACAUUGGGACUGAGACACGGCCCAGACUCCUACGGGAGGCAGCAGUGGGGAAUCUUCCGCAAUGGACGAAAGUCUGACGGAGCAACGCCGCGUGAGUGAUGACGGCCUUCGGGUUGUAAAGCUCUGUUAAUCGGGACGAAAGGCCUUCUUGCGAAUAGUUAGAAGGAUUGACGGUACCGGAAUAGAAAGCCACGGCUAACUACGUG